GAGAUCCCGAUCAAGCUCGAGGGCAUUUUGACCAGAUGAUCAAGUGGGUCACCAGGCCUGAUGACCGGUGCACUGCCAGCAUGAUAGCAGCAUACAUGAAGAAGAACUUCCUGAAUAAAGCUCUAGAACUGCUCCUGACUCUCGAGAAGGGUGGGUUUGAGCCUGGGAUUGCGACGUACACUGUGCUGGUGGACUGGAUGGGGAGAUUACUGUUGGUGGAGGAGGCGGAACGGUUUCUGAGUGCGAUACGAGAGAAAGGGGAGGCGCCAUUUGAGAUUCAUGUGAGCCUGUGUGACAUGUAUGCCAGAGCUGGAGAGGAGGAGAAAGCUCGCCGAUCCCUCAAGGUGUUGCAGGGGAGAAAAGAGUUGCUGAGAGGCGAUCAGUUUGAGAUGGUCGUGACUAGUCUUUUGGAGGGCGGGCUGGCAGAGGAAGCAAAGAAGAUGUAUGAGUUGAUGCAGGCUCAGGGUUUUACUCCAUCUGAGACCCUCAGAGUGGCACUCAUGGCAGCUCAAACAAUGCCUCGGCAAAAGCAACCUAUGGCAGCUCAAACAAUGCCUCGGCAAAAGCAACCU
rnacentral:misc_RNA from 1 species